rnacentral:rRNA from 1 species
ACAGGGAUUGCCCUAGUAACGGCGAGUGAAGCGGCAACAGCUCAAAUUGGAAAUCUGGCUCUUUUAGAGUCCGAGUUGUAAUUUGCAGAGGGCGCUUUGGCUUUGGCAGCGGUCCAAGUUCCUUGGAACAGGACGUCACAGAGGGUGAGAAUCCCGUACGUGGUCGCUGGCUAUUGCCGUGUAAAGCCCCUUCGACGAGUCGAGUUGUUUGGGAAUGCAGCUCUAAAUGGGAGGUACAUUUCUUCUAAAGCUAAAUAUUGGCCAGAGACCGAUAGCGCACAAGUAGAGUGAUCGAAAGAUGAAAAGCACUUUGGAAAGAGAGUCAAACAGCACGUGAAAUUGUUGAAAGGGAAGCGCUUGCAGCCAGACUUGCUUACAGUUGCUCAUCCGGGUUUUUACCCGGUGCACUCUUCUGUAGGCAGGCCAGCAUCAGUUUGGGCGGUAGGAUAAAGGUCUCUGUCACGUACCUCCUUUCGGGGAGGCCUUAUAGGGGAGACGACAUACUACCAGCCUGGACUGAGGUCCGCGCAUCUGCUAGGAUGCUGGCGUAAUGGCUGUAAGCGGCCCGUCUUGAAACACGGACCAAGGAGUCUAACAUCUAUGCGAGUGUUUGGGUGUCAAGCCCGAGCGCGUAAUGAAAGUGAACGGAGGUGGGAACCCGCAAGGGUGCACCAUCGACCGAUCCUGAUGUCUUCGGAAGGAUUUGAGUAAGAGCAUGGCUGUUGGGACCCGAAAGAUGGUGAACUAUGCUUGAAUAGGGUGAAGCCAGAGGAAACUCUGGUGGAGGCUCGCAGCGGUUCUGACGUGCAAAUCGAUCGUCAAAUUUGGGCAUAGGGGCGAAAGACUAAU